UCCCUGGUGGCUCAGUUGGUAAAAGAAUCUGCCUGCAAUGCAGGAGACCUGGGUUCAAUCCCUGGUUUUGGAA
rnacentral:tRNA from 1 species